CGUGCAAGUGAUGAUAAAACAGACAGGGACAUCAGAACCUACAGGUUAUGAUGAUUUGUCGAUGGGAAUCUCUCUGAUGCACU